AUCGUCGUAUAUAUAUUAGAAGCAUUGCCUUUAGAGAACAUUAUUAAAUCAAGUAUCUUAAUAAUAACAGCAAAAUGAUGAAAACAUUGCUUUUUGUUUGUUUCUGUGUUUUAUUCUACACCGCUCUUGCAUUACCAGCUGAUCCAGUAGACCCCAAGGCCGCCGCCGCGGCAGCAGCCCCUCCCGCAGCCCCUCCCGGAGGUUUACCAAAGGAUAUUCCUGGUGUUGGAUUCUUCAGCCAGAUGGCGAAAUCUAUGGGAUCACUUUUUUAAGUGACGGAAAACAUGCAACGACCAAACUUUAUCCAGAAAGGCGACAUGCUUAAUUAGAAAUAAAUAUCUUGAAUUUGA